rnacentral:rRNA from 1 species
GGAACGAACGCUGGCGGCAGGCCUAACACAUGCAAGUCGAACGGGUGCCUUCGGGCACUAGUGGCGGACGGGUGAGUAACGCGUGGGAACGUACCCUUUGGUUCGGAAUAGCCCUGGGAAACUGGGAGUAAUACCGGAUACGGUCGAGAGACGAAAGAUUUAUCGCCGAAGGAUCGGCCCGCGUUGGAUUAGGUAGUUGGUGGGGUAAUGGCCUACCAAGCCGACGAUCCAUAGCUGGUUUGAGAGGAUGAUCAGCCACACUGGGACUGAGACACGGCCCAGACUCCUACGGGAGGCAGCAGUGGGGAAUCUUAGACAAUGGGGGAAACCCUGAUCUAGCCAUGCCGCGUGAUCGAUGAAGGCCUUAGGGUUGUAAAGAUCUUUCAGUGGGGAAGAUAAUGACGGUACCCACAGAAGAAGCCCCGGCUAACUCCGCACCAGCAAGCCGC